rnacentral:rRNA from 1 species
UACGUAGGGGGCUAGCGUUGUCCGGAUUUAUUGGGCGUAAAGAGCGUGUAGGCGGCCACUUAAGUCGGAUGUGAAAGCCCCUGGCUCAACUGGGGAAGUGCACCCGAAACUGAAUGGCUUGAGUGCGAAAGAGGGUCGCGGAAUUCCCGGUGUAGAGGUGAAAUUCGUAGAUAUCGGGAGGAACACCGGUGGCGAAGGCGGCGACCUGGGUCGACACUGACGCUGAGGCGCGAAAGCGUGGGGAGCAAACAGG